rnacentral:lncRNA from 1 species
GUGUAACGCUGAAGACUUCACCAACGACGAUAACUGUUUCGUCGCCGAUAGGAGCAACAUAAUCCGAUGCCAAUGGUAUCAUUAGUAAGAAUCUGAAGCUGCAUCCACCGAACCUUCGAUGCAAAUCCUUCAAGUGCUAAAAAAAGAGUGCUUUAAUGAGGAAAAGAAGUGAAAGAAAUUAAUAAGGGAUAGUGAAGAGAAUGUGAAAGAUCUAGUGGCUAAGAAACUGAUGAAG